ensembl:lncRNA
AAACCAAAAAGUAAACAAACAAAGAAUUCACUCAACCCAUUCUCCAGCCCUUUCGUGCCUCUCUACAACUCACCUGCAAGCGCGUCACACCAAGCAGAGCCACUUGCACAAUAUAUGGCACGUCGUGACCUCAUCACUUCAGGUCUAUACCAAUAUGAUGACAAACCAGAGAAUUUUAGAGCGUGGCUCUCCUCAUUUACCGGGGCUACAGCAGACGUUCACCUCACGCCAACACAAGAGCUCGAUUUGAUGACAAAAUGGUUAGGAAAGGAGUCAAGCAGUCAAAUUAAACGCAUUCGCUCUGUGUAUGUCAAUAACCCUGCAGUAGCUUUACAGAAAGCAUGGGACAGACUCCAUGAGUGUUAUGCGGCUCCUGAAAUCAUCGAAAAAUCGCUCUUCCAGAGAUUGGAAAGUUUUCCUAAAAUGACAGUAAAGGAUAAUGUGAAACUGAGGGAACUUGGGGAUCUGUUUCAGGAGAUUCAAGGAGCAAAAGAGGAUGGGUAUCUGCCUGGUCUUCUCUAUCUUGACACGUCACGCGGAAUCAGGCCAAUUGUGGACAAACUCCAAUAUAGAAUUCAGGAGAAGUGGAUAUCACUAGGUUCACAAUAUAAAGAGGAUCAUCAUGACUGCUUUCCACCUUUCAGUUACUUUUGCAAGUUCAUAUGCAAAGAAGCUAAGAGACGUAACGAUCCAAGCUUUAACCAACAGUACAGCCAAAUGCAAUUAAAAUUAGAAAGACCCAACGUGAGAAACUUUAGCUCCGCCAAACCCAUCUCCGUAAAUAAAACUAAUAUUACACCCCCCAGCAAGGACUUUAAAAGCAACUGCCCCCUGCACAAUAAGCCCCACCCACUCAAUAAAUGCAGGACAUUCAGGAACAAACUGCUCGAUGAAAGAAAGGCCUUCCUCAAAGAGAAAGGAAUCUGUUUCAAGUGCUGUGCCUCGGACACUCAUCUCGCUAAGGACUGCAAAUCCACAGUAAAGUGCUCCGAAUGUGAAAGUACAAGCCACGAAACAGUAAUGCACCCUGGCCCUCCACCACAAACCUUCAAGGCUCCUGCUCCCGCACAAGAGGAUGGCGGGGAGGGAAAAGACAUCUCAGACAGCAUCGCAGUAACCACAACAUGCACCAAAGUGUGCGGUCCAGGUCAGUGGGGUCGUUCUUGUUCAAAAAUAUGUCUCACA